rnacentral:rRNA from 1 species
UACAGAGACUGCAAGCGUUAUUCGGAUUCACUGGGCUUAAAGGGUGCGUAGGCGGCGGGGCAAGUCGGAUGUGAAAUCUCGGGGCUCAACCUCGAAACUGCAUUCGAUACUGCCUUGCUAGAGUACUGGAGAGGAGAUCGGAAUUUACGGUGUAGCGGUGAAAUGCGUAGAUAUCGUAAGGAAGACCAGUGGCGAAGGCGGAUCUCUGGACAGUUACUGACACUGAGGCACGAAGGCCAGGGGAGCAAACGGG